rnacentral:SRP_RNA from 1 species
GCCGGGCGUGGUGGCGCACGCCUGUAAUCCCAGCUACUUGGGAGGCUGAGGCAGGAGAAUCACUUGAACCCGGAGACGGAGGUUGCAGUGAGCCGAGAUCGCGCCACUGCACUCCAGCCUGGGCGACAGAGCGAGACUCUGUCUCAA